AACGAACGCUGGCGGCGCGCCUAAUACAUGCAAGUCGAGCGAGAAGACGUAGCAAUACGUUUGUAAAGCGGCGAACGGGUGAGGAAUACAUGGGUAACCUACCCUCGAGUGGGGAAGUAACUAGCCGAAAGGUUAGCUAAUACCGCGUACGCUCCUUGGACUUCGGUUCAGGGAGGAAAGACGAUACCGUGGGUAUCGCGCUCUUGGAUGGGCUCAUGUCCUAUCAGCUUGUUGGUGAGGAACGGCUCACCAAGGCUUCGACGGGUAGCUGGUCUGAGAGGACGAUCAGCCACACUGGCACUGCGACACGGGCCAGACUCCUACGGGGAGGCAGCAGUAAGGAAUAUUGCGCAAUGGGCGAAAGCCUGACGCAGCGACGCCGCGUGGGGGAGUGAAGGUC
rnacentral:rRNA from 1 species